UGACUUCCUCUCAGCACCAUCAUCUGAACCCUGUUGAUUGCCUCUUUAAGGCGUGUGACUUCAGGGAGAAAGGAUGAGUUUACAAACAAAAUGAAGUAGAGACAUUAGGAGCAGAAGAAUGGAGAGAGUCUUGACCUUGUUUGCAUCUCCUGAAUCAGCCCUGCAUGAAGUCUGCUCUAAGACAUCUAACUCAUAACAUGCUGGCUGACUUUUGUCAACGUGAUACGCACCUACUUGUAUCUGGGAUGAGGGACUCUUAAUGGAGAAGAUACCUCUGUGAGAUUCACCUGUGGGUACAUCUGUGAGGUAUUUUCUGGAUUAAUGACUGAUGUGGGAGGGGCCAGCUCAUGGGAGGAGAGUGCUACCUCUAGGCAGGAUGUCCCGAGCUGUAUAAGAAAGCAGGCCCAGCAAGCCAGGAAGAACAAGUCGGCAAACGACACCCUUCCGUGACCUCUGCUUCAGUUCCUGCCUCCAGGUUCUCGACUUGAGUUCCUGCUUUGACUUCUUUUCAUGGUGGACUGUGCUGUGGAACUGUGAAUGAAAUAAACACUUUCCUCCCGA